UCGUGAAAUCCGGAGUAAGGGGAAGGGGCGAUUAAGGGUUUGUUACCUUUGGGAAACUGAGGGCUGUUCACACGCUUCUACCGCGGGCUGGAGGGGCGGCUCACGGGUUAAGGGCACUUGCUGCUCUUCCAGAGGACCCCGCAUGGCGGCUCUGUCGUCCUCUUCCGGCCUUCACGGGCACUGCACACUUACCACUAAUUAUACAACGAUAUAAUGAAGGAGAGUGCCCAGACCCCCUCCCUGUCCUCUGAGAAAGAGUUGCCCUCCGCCUGACUCUGGAACUGCCCUAGAUUGUUCAAACCCUUUCCUGGUACAUGUUUAUGGUUUCUAUGGAAAUGGUCUGGGGCAGAAGAGGAAGAACGUUCUGCUCCAGGGUCUGCCUAUGUAGCUCAAGCUGGAAUGGAAAUCACUAUGUAGCAAAAGUUGGACGUGAACUUGCAAUCCCUCUUCUUCAGUCAACCAAGUGCUGUGAUUAUUAGAGUGUGGACCACUAUGCCGAGCCUUGGUCAGUUCUUUAGACUUUGCUUUCUGUGGAGUCCCUUUGGAGAGCCCACCUCACAGGUACAAUUUUGGAACCUUCCAAGGACUGAAAGAAAUUGAUAUGCAGAUGAUGGGGUUAAAUUCUCUAAAGCCUUUUCAAGAUUCCCCUUCUGAUUUCCAGCUUUUCAGAAGCCUACAAGAAUUUUUUCGCUGAGCAAAUCAGCCACAUUUGGCUUGAAUUUUAUUCUCAAAUGAACUGCACAAGUUGGAAAGUGAUAGGCAGGUGAGAAAUUUAUGUAGAUUCUGACUGGCUGGGCUGCCCUCCAGAGCCUUCUAUUCACUGUUUCUUAUAUUCUGCUCAGUUCACUGGCAUAAGAUUUACAAAAUACUCAGACUGCAACCUCUGAAAUAGCCAAGACUUAAAUUUAAAAAAUUAAAGACAAAACAAAGUUUAUCAUUUAUUUACAAUAAAAUGAGGACAAAAACCCACUUUAUGCAGCUGUACCCUUUAAGUUAUUUCUUCUGUAGAAGUACAAAAGAACAGACUAAAACUGAGACAAACGUUUAAAAGAAAAUCCUUUGACUCAGGAGUCCAAAAACACACCACAAAUGGUUCCUUUGACCAAAAAAAUUAGUUUUUAUACAACAUAUAAAUAAUAUUACAUUAUGAACAAAGAAUGCUGUAUAUGUUUAACUUAAAAUUCUACUAGCUGUUUUUCCUCUGAUUUUCCUCCUUGAACACAAAACAUAUUUGCAAUUUAGAAAACCAAAAAGCAGCUCAAUGGGCAGACUGUCUCAGAAAAGGCUUUUACCCUAGUAGAUAUGGAAAGACAGUACGGAUUCUUUCCUUUGGCUCAAUGUUAAGAAAUCAGUAAGUUAACUGAGCUUACAAAAACUCUAUUAACACGAAGAGCACACUAAUCUUUAAUAUUUAAACAUCAUCUAAAACAUUAAACAGAACCCAACAAAAAAUCUAAAAGGUAUAGUCUAUGUGUAGUAUUAAUUUGGGAAACUUCAGGAACUUCUAUCUCUAUUGAAAAAGACCAAAUUAAGACCAAACCAUCUGGCGUGGUGGUGCAUACCUGUAUUCUCAGCACUUGGAAAGGGGAGGCAGGAAGAUCAGGAGUUCAAGGUAAUCCUCAGCUACAUAUUGAGGCAAGGCCAGCUUAUACUAUGUAAGACCCUGUAUUAAGAAACAAAAAACAUGCUUUAAAUAAAACUGGGUCAUACUAAACUACAGAAAAUGUUCUUUAUCACUAGCUGACCUUCAUAUUUGAUGAGCAAAGAAAAUUCUAUAUCAAUGAAUACUCUGCAGUAUCAGUAAUUUUGACUAUCUUUUAUGUCAAUUUGACUUUUAUUAUCUUUUAACAUUUGAAAUCUGUUACCUCAUAAAACUCUUCCCAAGAGAAUUAUAAUUUUAAUUGUGAUCUUAAAGGAUCUUAUAUUUAAAACAUUAAGUUAAAACCAUAAUCAUAUGAUUGCUGGUUACAUGGAUAAUGCUGUCUCUUUCUAAAUGAAAACAAAAUGAAAUUUUAUUUUAGAGGUUUUAAUUUGGGUUGCUCCAAUUCAUUUCAUCAUGUAUACUUUAUUACCAGCUCUCAUUAUUAGUGUUUUAUAACCACUGCUUUAAUAUUUGAGAGCCUAAAAAGAUACUACCCAGAAUGAAAAUAUGCAUAGCUGUGGCUGAAAUUUGUUUCUUAUUUAUCUAAACUUAUUAUUCAGGGAGUUCUAAAGUCAUGAUUAGGAGACACAUGAUUUAAGCUAUGGUUAAAAACAGCAUACAAGUCUAAGAAAUGAUACAUCUUCGAUAUUUUGAAAAAUCUUUAACAAGACCAAGAAUAAAAUUGAGGUCGUCUUCAUUAUAAAAUGUAGGAGGGGCAAGUGUUUUAUCUUAGAGAGUUCUCUCAAACAUCUUUCCUAUAUGAAAAAUCUGUGUUACCACCACAAAAUUAUUCUUCCUACUCAUGAUAUUUUACAUAGCAUCAUUUAAGCACCAGAGAAAUAUUCUGUAAACAAACUUUUAACCAGUAAAGAAAGGGCAAAUGUCCACUUGCCUUCAUACAAUACUUAAAAGGCCGUAAUAUGAGCCUCUACUUCCUACAAUGCAUUUUUAUAGUAAAAGUUCAAAUAUAUUUAUACAAACAACAAAGAGAAUUACUGUACACUUCAUGGCAAAAAAAGGAAGAUCAACAUACUAGAGCUUUUUAGUUAAAAAGUGAGCACGAGAAAACUAUAAAAUGAAUGCAUGUAUAAAAAUUCAGUAAUUUAGGUUUCAUUGAAAGGAUGAUAAUUAGUAAAAGAUAGUAGUGCACUGGCUUUUAAUUAUCCUGUAAACAGUAAGAAAGUAAUAAGCAAUACAUUAGAGAUGUCUUACCUCCCAAUAGUUCCCUUCUCUAACACUGGAACCCUAGUUAUCGCAGUUAAAAUCGUCUCUAAAAUAUUAGAAUAUCCUCAACAGAAAAUAAAUUCCAUCUGGGAUAAGUUUAACAGUCUAUAACACAUUUUGGACACGACAGAAAAACUACUGCAGAUCACAGAAGGACUGAUCUACACAUUAUAUAACAGAGCGACUCAAACCUUUACACCUGUUGCGCCAGAUUUUCUUUGUUGCUAUUAUAUUGCUUUCUAAAUUGUUUGGAAGCAUGGUAAUAAAAUGGAAAACCAAAAAGUGAAAAGAA